rnacentral:misc_RNA from 1 species
UGAUUUGAGGUCAACUUUAAGAACAUUGUUCGCCUAGACGCUCUCUUCUUAUCGAUAACGUUCCAAUACGCUCAGUAUAAAAAAGAUUAGCCGCAGUUGGUAAAACCUAAAACGACCGUACUUGCAUUAUACCUCAAGCACGCAGAGAAACCUCUCUUUGGAAAAAAAAACAUCCAAUGAAAAAGGCCAGCAAUUUCAAGUUAACUCCAAAGAGUAUCACUCACUACCAAACAGAAGGUUUGAGAAGGAAAUGACGCUCAAACAGGCAUGCCCCCUGGAAUACCAAGGGGCGCAAUGUGCGUUCAAAGAUUCGAUGAUUCACGGAAUUCUGCAAUUCACAUUACGUAUCGCAUUUCGCUGCGUUCUUCAUCGAUGCGAGAACCAAGAGAUCCGUUGUUGAAAGUUUUUAAUAUUUUAAAAUUUCCAGUUACGAAAAUUCUUGUUUUUGACAAAAAUUUAAUGAAUAGAUAAAAUUGUUUGUGUUUGUUACCUCUGGGCCCCGAUUGCUCGAAUGCCCAAAGAAAAAGUUGCAAAGAUAUGAAAAACUCCACAGUGUGUUGUAUUGAAACGGUUUUAAUUGUCCUAUAACAAAAGCACAGAAAUCUCUCACCGUUUGGAAUAGCAAGAAAGAAACUUACAAGCCUAGCAAGACCGCGCACUUAAGCGCAGGCCCGGCUGGACUCUCCAUCUCUUGUCUUCUUGCCCAGUAAAAGCUCUCAUGCUCUUGCCAAAACAAAAAAAAAAUCCAUUUUCAAAAUUAUUAAAUUUCUUUAAUGAUCCUUCCGCAGGU